rnacentral:tRNA from 1 species
GCCUCGGUAGCUCAGUCUGGUGGAGUGCAAGACUCGUAAUCCUGUGGUCGCGGGUUCAAUUCCCGCUCGAGGCU